rnacentral:rRNA from 1 species
ACAAGUAGUCAGAGCCCGUUAAUGGGUGAUGGCGUGCCUUUUGUAGAAUGAACCGGCGAGUUACGAUUUGAUGCAAGGUUAAGCAGUAAAUGUGGAGCCGUAGCGAAAGCGAGUCUGAAUAGGGCGUUUAGUAUUUGGUCGUAGACCCGAAACCAGGUGAUCUACCCUUGGUCAGGUUGAAGUUCAGGUAACACUGAAUGGAGGACCGAACCGACUUACGUUGAAAAGUGAGCGGAUGAACUGAGGGUAGCGGAGAAAUUCCAAUCGAACCUGGAGAUAGCUGGUUCUCUCCGAAAUAGCUUUAGGGCUAGCCUCAAGUGAUGAUUAUUGGAGGUAGAGCACUGUUUGGACGAGGGGCCCCUCUCGGGUUACCGAAUUCAGACAAACUCCGAAUGCCAAUUAAUUUAACUUGGGAGUCAGAACAUGGGUGAUAAGGUCCGUGUUCGAAAGGGAAACAGCCCAGACCACCAGCUAAGGUCCCAAAAUAUAUGUUAAGUGGAAAAGGAUGUGGCGUUGCCCAGACAACUAGGAUGUUGGCUUAGAAGCAGCCAUCAUUUAAAGAGUGCGUAAUAGCUCACUAGUCGAGUGACACUGCGCCGAAAAUGUACCGGGGCUAAACAUAUUACCGAAGCUGUGGAUUGUCCUUUGGAC